UUUUAAUUUAUUUGUUUGCUCAUUUUUUGUAUCUGGAAGCUUAGUUUUGUUUUUUGGGGUACAUGGUCACCUUACUGUUUCUCAUUGCUUUUCAAUUUUUUUUUCAAAUAUUCUUUAUACCAAAUUUUUUGCAAAUAUUAAUAGUUUUGAUUUCUCCCUUUCUAAUUGGUCCUGAUUCUGAUAAAGUUCACAGUCUGGUACUUUCAGAGCACUUAGACGUUGCGGAAAUAUUACCCACCCUUGAUUUAAAUGGGUUGCAGUAGCAUGUUUUCAGGGUUUGAACAGCACAUUUCUGCUGAUCUAUUUCCCCCAAAGAGGGGACCACCCAAAAGAGCUAUGACCAAGCAAAGCAGAGUUAAUAAACUCACUGCAGCAAGGGAAAACACCGCCUUGACAGGGUUUAGUAACAUCUCCAGAACAGGACUGAGGGCUUGGCGGUCUGGGCUGAUGUGGCUUAAGGUGGGAACUGGUAGGGAUGGGCAGAAUUCAACAAGCCUACUUGGUUGGUGGGAAAGCAUGAUGUGGUCCUCAGCAGGAGCCUGCAUCUUCAAGUCAUGUGUUCUCUAAGGGAGCUGCUUGCUGAGGUACAAUGUGAUCGAUAGAAGACCUCUUUGCCUAGAUGAGGAAGCUGAAUUUAUUUAUCGGCGUACAGUUUUAUCUUGCUGAGCUGGAUGUUGCUGGGGUGGUAUGAGUUCUUAUUCCCAAUAGAAUGGGGUUUAAAGCUCUAACGUCAUGAGUGGAGAAGUGUACACAUAAAUGAACUGAUCUGAACUCUCCCUUGUUUUUGGUUGUUUGAAAUAGAAGGAAAGCUGUGUCAGUGCUGGGGAUCCAAUCCAUAGCCUCAUGCAUGAUAAGCCAGUACUCUGCUCCUGAGCUACACCUCCAGUCGAAUGUGAUGAAUGUGAUGAACUUAAAAAUACUCAUUACAAUCCUAAACAGUCACUAAAAAUGAGAGAAAGACAGCUAAAAUAAUCAUAACAAACUUAAACUGAGACAAUAAAAAGUAUUAAUCCAAAGGACUGCAGGAAAGAAUAAAGAAAGGAACAAAGAGACACAUAGAGAACCAAUGGCAGAACGGUGGGCCUGGAUCCAGUCAUACUAGCUAUUAUUUUAUACGCUUGUGUUUCAUUGCCUUGAUACUAGAACUUUACAACUUGGAGAGAACUUUACACAAAUUUAAGAAAAUAAUUUAGGAUGAUGGAAAACCCCAGGAUGGAAUACCGAAUGUUGCAAAAUAACCCAGCUGUAUUGCAAACAUACAAAAUAACCUUACUGGCAAGGGUGAGUAGGGUGGAAGAGAUGCUGACUGAAAAGUUUUGGAAGACUCAGUGGAAUCUGUAAAACUAAAGACAAAUAAACCUGGCUGGCAGCAAAUGCACCAUUACGUGUAUCAAGCUUUGAUAACUGACUGAUUCAGAUGGACCCUUGGUCUAGUGAAGACUCUUCGGAGACACUUGGUUCAUUUUUUCAGACCACGUGAACAUCGUUAUGGUUCUUCUUCUUUAAGAGUUGCUCCUGAGGAGAUUUUCGCAUUUUACCUAAGCUUGCUUUGACCAAACAGUGAGAAAAUUUUGUGAUUCAUUGUUAUCAUUUGUAUGGUGCUGUAUUUCUUUGGGUCUAAAUAUGCAAGUACAUAAAUUCAUCUCUGUUACAUUGUUUGGCCUGCACUGUGAUAAUAGAAAUCACAGAAGACAAUGAGGAAGAUGCAAGAGAUGUCGUCUAACUCUGAAGCUUUCUCAAGAGGACCUUCCCUACUCCAUAACAUUGAACAAGAAAUAAUUGGUGGCGCACAGCUGUAAUUCCAGCACUCAGGAGGCUGAGGCAGGAGGAUCGCUGAGAGUUCAAGACCAGCCUGAGCAACACAGUGAACUACACAGUGAGACCCUGUCUCAGAAAAAGAAAUGGCAAAUGGUGCAAGUGAAUGGGCAACAUUGAUGUGAUAAGGGAACCGCCGGUACUAGAACUGGAGAGACUCAUGUAUCUUUCUCCUACCCCGACAUCUUCUUACCUUUCAUUGCAGUUAGUGGAGCCAUGCACGCCAUCUCUACUGAUUUUUCUUAUCUUACCCUAUCGCAGAAAAACAUCCAAGAUGGGGCUAUUUCUGGCCUUCCUUCUGUCUCUUCCUUUUCUUCUCAGAUUCCUAUGCAAAUAAGUCCUCUAUUCUAAUAAUGUGGCUGUUUCUAAAUGUGCUUGCCAGUCUAUUAGGAAGGGUCCAGCUGUGUAAGGCACGGGCUGCUGUGUUUGUAUGCUUGGUGGUAUGACUCGGAGCCCCGGCAUGCCGGGUUCGGGUUGGUAAAUCCAUCCCUGCGGAGGUGAAGAGUGGCCACAGGAGGGCAGCGUUCUCGCCUCUGCUGGAGCAGUGCCCCGGAUUACGUGGAACAGACCCAUCUCUGCAGGGCCCACAAACAAAUGGCAGUGCUUCAGGAAAGGGAUCAAUACCAUUGUUCUGACUUAGAACAAAAGAAAAACCUGGGCCAUGCAUAGAAUCUCUACUUUUAGCUCAAAUAUAAUUAUAUAACAAGUAAUUAAAAGUAGAAAUGUGGGGCCUAAUGUAGAUGGGACAUUCACACCAUACUAUUCGCAUUUUAUCUAUAGGAAAGGAGGGACACUCUAACAAGGAGGGUAUAGGUUUGUACAUGACUUGAGAGAAGUAAAAAAGCUGUGCUGCUUCUGACAUCUGUGGCCCCCAACCUCGCUGCUGAAUGCCUGUUCCUGAUUUAAUGAAGUGUGUUCCCAUGACAGACUUACAUUCAACUUUGAGUAUGGAGACUUUUACAAGGAGGUCAAGGCUUACUUGACUUGAUUUGCGUUUACCUACUCACGGUGGAGUCUUCAUAUUUGUGGUCAUGAAUCUCCAUGAUUCAAAUUCACCCACGAUAUCCUCUUGGUAUUUGCAUAAAAGUCAGUGAAAUUCCCUUGAGUUUCCAUCCUAAUUACUAUGGGUAGUUGAUAAUAUUUUGCAUGCUACUAAAGCAGACAUCUUAGUCGUACUAAACUUCUUAGGGUCCUGGGACAUACAGCCUCCCUGGAUUAGUUGAAAUGCUGUCAAACUAAAGUGAGAUAUUUGGGAUGUGGACGGUGGUUGUAUUUCGAAGCCAUCCUAACAUGAAAAUGAAGUAACAUGCUGCAAAAUGAAUCAACUUACCCAGUUUUGAGAGUUGGUGGUCAAUUCUCACAUCUUGUCGGACUGAGCCUCACUGAGCUGUUGGGUGAGGUGUCAUCAGGACUUUCUCUUAUAAUCAAAAGAAGCCAGGAGUGUCACAUCCUUGAAGUAGGAGUUAUUUCUCUACCUGCAUCAAACGUUGUAACUAUGAUCAACUGUUCUAGCUUUUCUGCCAUGAGACUUCAGGUGCUUCUAAUGAUGUGCUUCCCCCAAAUUAGGCCUUGAUAUAGGGACACUGUUUAGUUUCUAGGUUAUUGGUUUCUGUUGCUAUGGGGUACCGUGAUGUUUACAGCAGCAGCCACAAUCCUGACCAAAGAGGCUCAGGCUUUGACUCUGGGGAAUUUGACUUGUACCUCAGGCUGCUUUAUUUCGAAAGUUCAUGGGACGCAAUUCCUGGCACACUGGAUACACAUGUAUCUUUACUGUGUGACCCUAACACUAUUCUAGGCAGGUAGAAAUUCGCCAGCAGCUCUGUGGCCAGUUCCUGAUAAUACAGGUCGAACAUGCCUCAUGGUUGUGGAGGAGGACACCAGACUUUAGCCACUCUCUUUAAUAUUGCUGUCCCCACGCUGCCUAAGCACCCCUGAUUUAGCCUGUGUUAGAGUCUUUGCAUGAGAGUUAACCCUCACGAAGUGCCCAAGUGGCAGAGCUCGUAACUGAACCCAGCCUUAAAUCAGCUGUUGUACACCUCGUAAUUGUGUAUUUGUGGUCUAUUAUGUGACUGUCAACUUGGGAAGAGGAGGGGCUUCCUAACAUCUAUAGAAACUGAACUAUUACAUAGGAAACUACUGGUAUAUGAGAGUCAUUCAAACUUCUCUAACGGAUUCGUGUAAUUUAUUGUAGAAUUCACAAUGGAAAACACAAUGAAAUAUCAAGAACAUUGCAAACCAACCUGCAAAAGUGUUACUAGGAUUUGGGCUGGGGAAACUGAACACCCAUGAUACGCCCACUCACGAGCUCCUGCUUAUAGUUUGAGAAGUAGCCAACUUGCUAAGAAUUAGGAAAUCAGAAAGCAAGGAAAGCUAAGAAGACUACCACAGAAAAUAUAUAUUUCACGUGUCUGUACCUUUACUCCAAUUGCUGUGAAUCGAAGAGCUUUUUCAAGCCCACCAACAAACUAAGCAAAAGGAGCACACUGAAAACUUUGCAGUCUCACAAUAAUUGUAAUUGCAGCAAACAAUUCAGGAAAUACUACAAAAACAUAAUGUUUUUCAGAAAGAGAUUCUUUUUUUGUUUUGGGGUUUUUUUU